UCCGGCUUGUCACCGGCAGUCUCACUAGAGUGCCCAACUGAAUGAUGGCAACUAACAAUAAGGGUUGCGCUCGUUGCGGGACUUAACCCAACAUCUCACGACACGAGCUGACGACAGCCAUGCAGCACCUGUAUCCAAGCCAGCCGAACUGAAGAAUUCCAUCUCUGGCAUUCAAACUUGGUAUGUCAAGCGUAGGUAAGGUUCUUCGCGUUGCGUCGAAUUAAACAACAUGCUCCACCGCUUGUGCGGGUCCCCGUCAAUUCCUUUGAGUUUUAACCUUGCGGCCGUACUCCCCAGGCGGUAUGCUUAAUGCGUUAGCUCCGCCGCCGAAAGCCUAAGACUCCCGACAGCUAGCAUACAUCGUUUACGGCGUGGACUAC
rnacentral:misc_RNA from 1 species